CAUCUAGGAACCUCGCCAUGAAAUUGAGAAAUGUUUUCAAAUGUGAAAAGGCUUCCAGCCUUCAGCGGGGUAUUCCAAAAUAGAAGAACAUAUUUGUUUGUUUUUCAGAGCAGAAAACCUAGAGAGCAUUUGCUUCUGGACAAGUUGGUUGACUCACAAAAGAGAAAAGCAAUCGCCUCAGGAGUGACUCAAGACUUGCACAUGCUCCGUUCUCUAGUGCGUUCCUGUGGACUGACGGGCACACGACUGACACAACGCCUCAUGCGUUGUCUCUAAAUAAAGACGAGCCUUGAACAUGUGGCCGCUCAUUAUCCACUGUCAACAGGCCGCUCUAGGCUCUGUCCCUACCUGCCGUCACACCGUGAAGACUAGACAUCAUCGAGACGGCGCCUCGAACGACAAACAGGAGGUUGAAUGAAUCUGGAGCUCCUUACAGUAAGCAGCCAGUGGCCCCUGUGUUGCCCAGCACCACAUCACUGAGGGCCUGAUGGACUGGCUAACUGGCCAGACGGACGAUUCAUCACAACACAAGAAUCAGCGCUCUCCUCAUGGGCUGCCAUCAAAAUGGAGGCAAACCUGUCCAACAGCAUGCAUCAAACUGGGUUUCCCCUCAGCACUCAGACACCACCUGGUGCUGGUCUGCUCACACCUGCAGGACACACAGGGAGAGCAGAAGCAUCCACAGACCUGAGGAGGGAACACUCGCUGUGCUAACAAACCCCCCAAUACAACACUUUACUGUAAAAUGGGUCCUGGCUUUCUGCCUCGCUUCAAGUAAAAACCAGCCUACUAUCAUGAGGUUGGGGAAAGCGUCUUGAUAAUCCCAGUUUUCUCCCUCCAACUACGUCGCUGUGGUUCUCAACAGCUCUGAAAGAAAACAAGAACAAUAAUGCAUGAAAGUUAUAUUUCACAUUCUUUCUGAUGUUCUUCUUCCAAGUGUCUGAUUGUACUAUCUUCUGUGUAUUAUUCACUGUGUUCAGCAAAGGGAAAAAUAAAUGUUUGUG